rnacentral:rRNA from 1 species
GAUGAACGCUAGCUACAGGCUUAACACAUGCAAGUCGAGGGGAAACGACAUCGAAAGCUUGCUUUUGAUGGGCGUCGACCGGCGCACGGGUGAGUAACGCGUAUCCAACCUGCCCAUCACUUGGGAAUAACCUUGCGAAAGUAAGACUAAUACCCAAUGAUAUCCCACGAAGGCAUCGGAAUGGGAUUAAAGAUUUAUCGGUGAUGGAUGGGGAUGCGUCUGAUUAGCUUGUUGGCGGGGUAACGGCCCACCAAGGCAACGAUCAGUAGGGGUUCUGAGAGGAAGGUCCCCCACAUUGGAACUGAGACACGGUCCAAACUCCUACGGGAGGCAGCAGUGAGGAAUAUUGGUCAAUGGGCGAGAGCCUGAACCAGCCAAGUAGCGUGCAGGAAGACGGCCCUACGGGUUGUAAACUGCUUUUAUAAGGGAAUAAAGUGGGUCACGUGUGACUUUUUGCAUGUACCUUAUGAAUAAGGACCGGCUAAUUCCGUG